UUGCUGCGGCGAUUCGCUUCGGGUUGGCCGUUUUCAGCCGAAUUCGGCCACACUCGCAUCGGUCCCUGCGAUAAAACAACCCUAGGGCCCUCGGUGGGCCAAAAAAUUACGAAAAACUGAAACUUACUGGCGGCGGUGCUCUCGGGUGCGGCGGCUCCUCCGGUGUGAGUCACGUUUUGAUGUUUGGCUCUGAUCAACCUGUAGAAAAAAGAACGGUGAUCACAGUGGUAUAAAAUUUGCAUCGAACGGAGGCCGGGAAGGGCCUCAUCGGAGGCAAAAACUGAGGAGGGGCGCGGCGGCGCCGCUGGGCUUCGGCUGGAUUUUUCGGCCGUUUGGCCGGUGGUUUGACUCCGGUUUGGCCAUAGGCGGACUCAACAUCGAAAAACGAGCAAGGGGGAGAAAAUUUACCUCGAUCGGCGGUCGAAAACUUCCCCGGUGCGGCGGCGGGUGGCCGGCUCCUCCAACAUCUGGUUCUUCUUCUCGGCGACGCACUGGCAGCUAGGGUUUUUGUGGUCAGGUGUGGGUGGGGUUAUUUAUACCCUUUGCCUUUUAAUCUCAGUCGUCCAUCAAGAUUAAAUCUGGACCGUUCGAUCACGAUUUAAUUGGGAUUAAAUCUGGACCGUCCAUCGCGAUGCAAUCUGGGCCGUUCGAUCACGCGCACGCGGAUCGCCCACGUGGCCCGUCCCCUGGUCAGCGUUUUCUUACCACACGGCGCCUCCUGGGUGGCCGGGGCUGCUGACCGGGCCGCCGACGUGGCUGCUGACGUGGCACAACUUUUCUAAAUUGCGUUUUGAUCCCCGGUUUUUGAUUUUUUUUUCAAAAAUACCCCCAGAAUCCAAAUU
rnacentral:lncRNA from 1 species